rnacentral:rRNA from 1 species
GACGAACGCUGGCGGCGUGCUUAACACAUGCAAGUCGAACGGAAAGGCCCUGCUUUUGUUGUGUGCUCGGGUGGCGAGCGGGUGGGACACACGUGUGUAACCUGCCCUUGACUUUGGGAUAUCUUCAGGAAACUGGGGCUACUACCGGUUAUGAGCUCCUGCUGCAUGGGGUGGGUUGGAAAGUUUCGGCGGUUGGGGUUGGACUCGCGGGUUAUCAGCUUGUUGGUGGGGUAGUUGCUUACCAAGGCUUUGACGGGUAGCCGGCCUGAGAGGGUGACCGGCCACAUUGGGACGGAGAUACGGCCCAGAAUCCUACGGGAGGCAGCAGUGGGGAAUAUUGCACAAUGGGCGGAAGCCUGAUGCAGCAACGCCGCGUGCGGGAUGACGGCCUUCGGGUUGUAAACCGCUUUCGCCUGUGACGAAGCGUUAGUGACGGUAAUGGGUAAAGAAGCACCGGCUAACUACGUG